rnacentral:rRNA from 1 species
CCUACGGGGGGCAGCAGUGAGGAAUAUUGGUCAAUGGCCGGAAGGCUGAACCAGCCAUGCCGCGUGAAGGUCAGUGCCCUAUGGGCGUUAAACUUCUUUUGUGCGGGAGCAAUAAUGGUCACGUGUGGCCAGACGAGAGUACCGUACGAAUAAGCAUCGGCUAACUCCGUGCCAGCAGCCGCGGUAAUACGGGGGAUGCAAGCGUUAUCCGGAUUUAUUGGGUUUAAAGGGUGCGUAGGCUGUGAGGUAAGUCAGCGGUGAAAUGCCCGCGGUCCACGGGGUGAAGUGCCAUUGAUACUGCCUGGCUGGAAUGCGGAUGACGUGGGAGGAAUGUGUGGUGUAGCGGUGAAAUGCAUAGAUAUCACACAGAACACCGAUUGCGAAGGCAUCUCACGAAUCCGCGAUUGACGCUGAUGCACGAAAGCGUGGGUAUCAAACAGGAUUAGAUACCCCUGUAGUC